UUGCUGCCAGUACAUUUUAUUAUGAUACUAUAAGCUCAGAAAUUAAGUUGAUCAAACAAUUCGAUCUGUGCUAUAAACAUUUAAAUGAACCUACAGAAUAGGCUAUCAAAAUAGAAUCAUCUGAAUGAUCUUUCUUGGACAUACAUUUUGAAGUGACCCUUCGAAUUAAAAAGGUUCCUCAGCUGCUUUUGAGGAAAAACAUCAAUGUGCUUGGCCACUCUGGUUUUUAAAUGGUAUUCUGAACUAAAGCAAGGAUUGUUCAAGUUAGUUGAAAAUAGACCGUCUCUGGUUAAAUUUAGUUCUACACCAAGCCUUUAGGUGGCAGUAAAACGAAUUGGCACAAUGCGAAUUCCACACACAAGCCACAAAGAAGCCAUCAGCCGCGGUCAACAGCACCUUCCUGAUUGAACAGAACCACGCGUUGUCUGUGUGGUUUACAAGUUUCUUGGCGAUAUGGGGGGAAAGUUCCUCACAUACCAACGGAAAAUGGGCUUCAUAUACAUGCUGCUGUCUCAUAAUAUGGCGAAGACGAGUCACCUGAAGGCCUAACUCGCCAUAGAAGACUGAAAGAAUUGUCCUGCAGGAUGCUGUGUCCUGCAAUCCUGUGUGCUGUGCUACAGACGCGUGUGGAGGUCAACCCAAAAUGGGCACAGUCUCACCACAGAAGAGUGAAAGAGGAUCCUGGCAGGGAGACGGUAGUGUCCUGCAGAAUGGUGAUGGGCCAAUCUUACAAGAGACCACAGAAAACUGAUAUAGUGAACUAUAGAAACAACAGUGCCUGCUGCAGUAUAACGAGGACACCCUGAGCAGAGAGCUCCAAUAGACCCAGGUCCAGUGUCUUGGCAGGGUGAAAUGACACUGAUAUGGUGUCCUGCAGGAUGCUGUGUCCUGCAAUCCUGUGUGCUGUGCUACAGACGCGUGUGGAGGUCAACCCAAAAUGGGCACAGUCUCACCACAGAAGAGUGAAAGAGGCUCCCAGAAGUGAGACUGAGUGCCUGUUGCAGUAUGACGAGGACGCAGUGACCAGAGACCCU